UCAUGUAACCAUAAUUUAUUAUCUCUAUUCAGUAUUCACCAGCCUGUAGUCUCUGCUCUGCUCAGAGAGAAGCAUGAAGCUAACAGUGUCCUUCAUCUACAACUAAUGAGAAGAUAUCAGUAGGGGCAUUCGUGCAGUCAUCAACCCUAUGAUUGUUGAAUCUACCAGUCGAAGAACCUAGCGGAUGAUCUAGGUACAGAACAAUGACGGUAAUAUCAUCGUG
rnacentral:misc_RNA from 1 species